ensembl:lncRNA
CACUGUUACCAAGAAGACCACAUGGUGCCGAACCUGCAUUUAGUUUUACUAAUUAGCUCACCUGCCGCAGCUCACCUGCCAGGUGGUUUUCUUCAUUAGUUAAUUGGUUGCAUCUGGUGCGUUUCACUUAAAAGGGAACCGGACAGUAGAUUUGUUUGUGUACUGUUUUGAUGAAGUCUGUUGUGACUUAUUUAACAUCUCUUCGAGUUUCCCAGGUUAAAGACUUUUUGAAGUAAAGAAGAGCAUCUCAUCUGAACCUGAUGUCUAUCAUGGAUAUUUAACUGCAGUUCUGUGAGUAUCCGAACUCUACAAUGAAGCAUAACUGCAAACUGUAAGUCAUUAAUUUCUCAUUACUCUUGGGCACAUUGAUGUAUUUUGGCUUCCUAGUGAAUUAACCUGUUACCUGAAGGUUGAUCUGAGUAUUAAGGAUGUUUUAUAUUGGUUCAUGGGUUACUUAGGUGUUUGGUUUAUAUUGGUAUUCAUUUUUGAUUGAUUUGUUAAAAUGGUUACAGGCUCCAAAUUAUUGUUGUAAGCUGGAGUAAUUGGUUGGGUUCUGAUAUCUUCAGUCUUUUUUCAUUCUACUCUCCUGAGCUCUGCAUCUUCAUCACUUCAUGAGUGUUGCUUUACUGACACUGAGGGUGUGGUCUGAGUGAGCAGAGGUGCAUACUGGGAUACAGAGCUGUCUCGAGUCUACAGGUCUGUAGACACGGCCCCUCAGGGGAAACCGAGUGUUUGAGAAACUGUCGUGACGUCAGUUACAUGGACUGGAAUGUUCUUAAAGAUGGAGACAGGGAUUCAGAAGGAGAAACACCAGGGGGAGAUGAGGGGGCUCCUCAUCUCAACGACUGAAACACAACUUCAGUCUGACACAGAACCAUGGAACACAUUCAACAGUCCCCUCCAGGCAUCGUGACUCCACAGGAACAGUUUCAUUUCCAAGAAGGUCUUAUUUGGGGCCAUCCCCAUAUGGAUCCUGCUCCUCAAGAGCCACCCCCCUCCACUGGGUGGUUUUCUGAACAGAUGACCUCCUUCCUGUCCUCAGGCUGACUAAAGCUGCACCGUUUGCAUCUGUGAAGGCCCCUCAUUCAGGAAACCACUGGACUUCAAAGACAUGACUUCAGAGAUGUUGAAUCAACACAUUGGGACACAUUUUGGAGACGCCAAGCAUAAUCCAUCACCAAUGUGGGACGCCACUGAAGAAUGUUGUACAUAAUUUACGUCUCUGGAGACAUUGGUUGUUCUGUUAUGGGUGCCCUGGCAGGAGAGCUGGGGGGGAUGCUGGAAUGUUAUUUGCUAUGAGGUUUUUACCCUGCCUGAUUGUUUGGCCUUUUAUGGCUCAGUGGUGUGUGUGUGUGUGUGUGUCAUGAGAUGGAAGAUUUUUGAUCAUCGCUAGGGUUUUACUGUGUGUGUCUCCCACUCACACCUGGCAUGCGGUUCUACGUGCCUGUCCUGGGUUCCAUGCGUGUGUGUGUCCGGCUUGCUUUGACAGUGAUAAUGUUCAUACGGGGGUCUGUGUGAUUGGCUUGGGAUAUUGGAAUGGUCAACUAAAUCAUACCUGAUGGACGGCCACACGUUUACUUAAGGGCCUCCAGUAGACAUGAAGAGCCCUGAGCGACGCUCCGGAGCGAGAUCCAACACACUGGGAAGGAAGGAGAGUAUCCAAAUCAAGUGUAAAAGGAUGCAAGCGGUGUGUUCAGAUCAGUGACUUCAAACUAGGACUACAACAAUCAGGAUCAAUGGAGGAUGGACACCAAAAGGAAUUCCACAAGGAGAGUCUGACGUUGGAAAGGGACCUAAAUGGAUAUUCAAGAUGACCUUCAGACCUUUAAUGAGACGGCUCUUCCUACCUGGCUGGAUUGAUGGAGAGCCCUGUGGAUCUUGUCUUGCUCUCAGUUGCACAUCUUCUCAGGCUGAACUGUAUUUGUUUCGGACAGGACUAGCUGAACGAUUGGUUCCCUUAAAUCAGAACCAAUCCGGGAACUCGAGCUUGUGCGCUCUUCGAGCUGAAGUUGUGCUCUUCAGCUGAGGAGGUGAGGAAACCUUCACUGGGGCUUCAAGGUGUAAAGAGGAGAAUGUUUCAAAGUGUUCCAUGGUAGUCUGAAGACCGUUGUGUUCCACUGGCUGCGAGGAAGAACCCACACAUCUUCCUCUUGGCCUUUCUCCUCUGAGAAUCCUGGCGCCAUCUUGAAGGAUAUUCCAGCUCAUGUAACUGUAGUCACGACAGAUUCUCAAACACUUGGUUUCUCCUGAGGGGCGUGUCUAUGGAACUGAAGACUUCAGACAGCACUGUAUCCCAGCAUGCAUCUCUGCUCACUCAGACCACACCCCCGUGAGUAGGAUGCAACACUCUAGUGAUAGCGAUGUAGAGUUUUAUAAGUAACGAGGGAGCAGACUAAGGUGAUUAGAACCCAAUGCAAUGUCAAGUCUGUAAAUCUUUAAACCAUGAAGAUGGUUGGAUAGUUCAGGAAUUGGGCUUCUUUUUAUUAUGGGCAGUCCUUUCACUCAGAUGCCCACUUCUCACUGGAGCUGUACAUGUGUUGGCUGGCAUGAUUUGCUGUUGGUGAUGAGGCGGUCAGGGUGACGUUGCAGGGCUAUGGUCAGCUCUCUGUGAGCUCAACGUUUAGAUUUGCUCUGUAUUGUUUGUACCCUGAAUAAUCUAGAUAAUUGUAAAAUGUAGACACGGUUUUGUAUUGAAUGAUUUUAGGUUUAAAGUUGUUGUGGGACGUACAUGGUAGUUUGGUUCUUCGUAUGGUUUUGAUUGAUAUAACUUGUACACACUGGGUGCAUAAUAAUGUAAAUGUACACUGAAUAGUAGAAAUGACCAACAGCAACAAACAGAUCUCCUCAAGGUAAGUCUGUUGGCUGUAUUUUAAUGAAGACCAUCGCUGGACUUCAGGAUCUUCCUCCGUUCAGCUCAAGGUGAGGCGCUGGUUCUGUUUUUCUUUGGUUGGUUCCGGCCGGAAUGUUCGUAUUCCAGUCGGACGGUUUGUGCUUCCCGCCGUGGAAGGUUCUGAGUGCGGUCACGCGAUUUAGUCCCAAUGGUUGGCAUAGAACGUUGUAGUCUUGACAACCAUAAGAAACCACCUGGCAGUUAGUUGGACGGGAGUCCCCUGAGGGAAUCUGGCGGACUGUUUUGGAUUGUAUUUGCGUAACCUCGAGCCGUUGCCCAUUUUUCAGUCGGUUUCCAUUGGGAAUUGUUGCCCCUAUCUUAAACAAAUUAAGUUUGAUAUUAAAUACUUACUCACACGUACGUCGUACAAUAUGUUGAUAAUUUCCGAUGGUUGCGCCGUACUUUAACCACGAUGACGUGACGGGACUCUCACUGCGUACAAAACAGCGUUCUACUUGCGGGCCCAUUUUUUUACAUCAGGGAAGGCUGAAAAUCAUUUCAAGGUGGAAGAUAAUUUGACAUUUCUUCAACGGAACCCAGCACCUGAAUAUGGUUGAGUAUAUUUGAUUUAAAUAUCGAUACUGCUUAGUGUUCUUUGUUACUUCAGCUUUUGUAGGUUCUAAAUAUCUGCUGUCAUUAAUUGCCACAGAAGUUAAACCCUAUCCAAUGGAAUAACGUUAAACAACGACUUUGGUGCAGAGUUAACAACUGGAUAAUAUAAAAGCUAAAAUAAUGGCUAAGUCAUUCCCACGUUACAGUAGAAUAUACUUUAGAACUGUACAAGGUUAAAAAGGUAACAUGUAGUUUGUCCCAAGGUGUCUGCCUCCUCACCCAGAGCCAGACCUCCACCUCCUCACCCAGAGCCAGACCUCCACCUCCUCACCCAGAGCCAGACCUCCACCUCCUCACCCAGAGCCAGACCUCCACCUCCUGUCAGAAGUUCUCCAGAACAGCGGAAAGGCCUGGCUGAGAGGCUGGGGUCCGGAGGCUUGUGGUGCCAGGGUGGACCGGAGACUGAGGCUGGAGACCAGGGGCCUGCAGCACCGGACCAGAGGACCAGGACUCUGUCUGAGGAGAGCUGCUGGAGGAGCUGAGACGCUGGAGGACGACUAGGAAUCGACCAACAAGGAUUCCUCAGCGGAGGCGAGCUGGUAGGGGAGCCGUGAAUCUGGAGGAUGACCAUCACUCUACCAACAAGGAUUGUACGUUUGUAUUAACCAAACAAACUGGAAAUAAAGGGCUUAAAAAUAAAACAAAAUACAUGUUUGUAACCAGACUUUAGGGCCAGACUCGCGCUGUUUGUUCCAGACCAGGACUCUGGCUGAGGAGAGCUGAUGGAGGAGCCAAGACUCGAGCCAAGAGGACGACAUCACUCCACCAACCAGGAUCCUCGUAAGUUUGCCUAAAAUAAACAGUGGACUUAUUGUAACGCAGGAUUAGAUUGUCCAGUACAAGUUACGGCAUACUAUUGUGGUUGUUUACCAGACAAACUACAGCUGCUACUUUGUUACGCGCCAUUAGAGCCCAACUACUCCUGUGUUUUUGACCUUACAUUAGAGACAAACUACUACUGUGUUUGUUACCUGAUAUUAGAGACAAACUACUCCUGUGUUUGUUACCUUGCAUUAGAGCCCAACUACUCCUGUGUUGGUUACCUUACAUUAGAGUCAAACUACUACUGUGUUUGUUACCUUACAUUAGAGUCAAACUACUACUGUGUUUGUUACCUUACAUUAGAGACAAAUUAUGUUUGUAACAAGACCAGGAAUCUGGAGGACUGAUGGAGAAGCCGUACAUCUGGAAGGCAAAUCCUGAGGACCACCAGGACUCUACCAUCAAGGAUUCCUCAUAAGUUUGCAUUAUCUGGACAUAGUGGACUAGACGCACCUGAGCUGAACCUCACCUGAUCCUGUUUGGUCGAGGGUAGACACACCUGAGCUAAACCCGCCCUGAUCCUGACAUCCUGCUGGUCCCGUCUCCUCAGUUCAUCUAAGCCUCGUCCUCCAGAAGACCUGCUGAGCUCAGCAGUCUGAGGCUGAUGGAUCAAUGACCUCCAGUGGGAGUGAUCUUCUUGACCCCACAUGUAACCGUGUGCUUCCACACGCCUUUCCCUCACGUCUGUCACUAACCUCACUACUUCACUACUAUCUACUGCUUCCUCUUUUCUUCCUUCUCUGUGGUUCAAACCGUUACACCGUCUAGUCUUCCUGCCCUCAGAGGGUUUAGCGUUAGGGUUGAGAGUCAGGGUUUAGAGUCAGGGACAGAGCUGGUUAGGGAGGACUGCUUUUACACAAACCUCUUCACUUGCUUUUCGGAAUGGUGGUGACAUUUUGAAAAGAUUCAUUUGAGAAAAUGUUUUCCUCUGCUUUCCUUUACAAAAUUGUAUCAAACUUCUGUCAAGUGUUUUUGUUUAUAUAUUAAAAUCCCACAUUGACUUCUACAUG